UUGGAUUGAGUGAAGGGGAACAUUCUUAUUUCUUUGAUAUUUUUUCCCUUCCAAUACUACUACUACUAGUUAUAUUUGACAAAGUGGCACUGUGGCAGAGCACUUGAAUUUAAUUGACUUGGCUUUUCCUUUCCCUAUUAUGCCUUAUUGAUUUUCUACUGUGUUAUUUAUUUCAUUUUUGGUAAUUUCUUAACACGUGCUACACUUUUCAGCUUAUCAUGCGCGUGUUGCUGGUCUAUAUUAUCAC
rnacentral:misc_RNA from 1 species